rnacentral:rRNA from 1 species
CAGUAGCCGCGGGAAUACAGAGGGUGCGAGCGUUAAUCGGAUUUACUGGGCGUAAAGCGUGCGUAGGCGGCUAAUUGAGUCGGAUGUGAAAUCCACGAGCUUAACUUGGGAAUUGCAUUCGAUACUGGUUAGCUAGAGUGUGGGAGAGGAUGGUAGAAUUCCAGGUGUAGCGGUGAAAUGCGUAGAGAUCUGGAGGAAUACCGAUGGCGAAGGCAGCCAUCUGGCCUAACACUGACGCUGAGGUACGAAAGCAUGGGGAGCAAACAGGAUUAGAUACCCCAGUAGUCCCUGUCUCUUAUAC